rnacentral:snRNA from 1 species
AUAGCUUUUUACCCUUUGGCUAAGAUCAAGUAGAGCAUUUGCUCCCGAGGCUUUUAACAACUGACUUCUCCAUCCAAAGAUAACAUAUU